UUAAAUUAAGCAUUCAAUAAUACAGCUUCACAUUGUUGAAGUUCCAUACUUGAGCCAUUUAUGAUAGUGUGCUUAACCUUUUUCUGUGCAUCAGGUGGUUGUUGGCCUCCUACAAUACACAAAUACUUCUUAUGGUGUUUCUUGCAAUUGUUUCACUGCUAUUGGUGGGUUUCUUUAGCUAUCAUGCGAAGCUUUGUCUCACAAAUACUACCACAAAUGAGACUUUCAAGUGGCAAGAGUACAUAAGUUGGCAGGGGAAGAUAAAUGAAGCAAAGGCGAGUGCUGCAGCCCUCAAAGCGAGUAUCAAUGGGAUGAGUACUGAAGGAAAGCCUCCAGAAAGCAAAUGGAGGGCCUUCUUUCGAAAAUCCCCAUUGGAAGAUGUGCAGGUUGUUAAAAAUAACAUUUAUGAUAAAGGAUUUUUUCACAAUCUUCAUGAGAUCAUCUUUCCCCCCUCAAUGAGAUCCUCAUUUCUGCAAUCUAAAUCAAAGUCGGGCUGAAUUUCCUUUA